CAAUUUUUUUACCAGACAUUUGCCGUCGCACCACCACCACCACAUCCAUCCCCCAAUCCAACCUACCCCAACUCUUCCUCCCUCUUCAGCAGUUCGCCGGCACUACUACACCAACGGUAUCACGUUGUGACGGCAUCGAUUUCGAUUUCUCUUGAUGGAAAAGUCGGCAAAAAAUAAAAAUUAUAAAACCCAAUUUAAAUAACUCGAAAUCCCUUCGCCGGAGGAUUAUUGAGGCGAGUUUUGCUUCGAUUUGUUUGGAUUUGUGUCUAUCUAUUGGUAAUUUCAAUUUUGGUUGCUCAGGUGUUGUGAAGGAAGCACAAGAGGGAUGUUGGUUUUCUAGUGGUGGCAUUUGCGGGCGAUGAUAGGGUGCUGGCGAGAGUUAUGGUGAGGUGAACGGAUAUACAGUGGAAGGGGCAGUCCUAGACGGGGAAGUGGUAAGGAGGCGGCGUAGCCGAGGUGAUGGGUCAUAGGAGAGCUGGGGAUAUUACGGUGUAGUGAAGAAGAGGGGUUUUCAUAAAAUAUGAGGGACUGAAGUGAUAAUUUGGUGAAAAAAACACAACCCAGUCUCACAACCCGCGCGUGGGAUGCACGAUAAGCUGUUAGGGACUUUAUUAGCUUUGACUAAAUUUUAUAGGGGGGUUCUUGCUAAUAUUUAUAACAUGGGGACUUUUUUAACAAUUAGA